AAGUCCCGUGGUGGAAACCACGUCAGAUUGCAAAUUUGAAGAUGCCGGCUUACAGCCUGCCGGGGCUU
rnacentral:tRNA from 1 species